rnacentral:rRNA from 1 species
AAAGGAAUUGACGGGGACCCGCACAAGCAGCGGAGCAUGUGGUUUAAUUCGAAGCAACGCGAAAAACCUUACCAAGACUUGACAUCAUCUGACCGCUGUAGAAAUACAGUUUCCCUUCGGGGCAGGUAGACAGGUGGUGCAUGGUUGUCGUCAGCUCGUGUCGUGAGAUGUUGGGUUAAGUCCCGCAACGAGCGCAACCCUUAUGAAUAGUUGCCAAUAUUAAGUUAGGAACUCUAUUCAGACUGCCGUGGAUAACACGGAGGAAGGUGGGGAUGACGUCAAAUCAUCAUGCCCCUUACGUCUUGGGCUACACACGUGCUACAAUGGCUAUCACAAAGCGCAGCAAAACGGUAACGUCGAGCGAAUCGCACAAAAAUAGUCUCAGUUCAGAUUGUGGGCUGCAACCCGCCCACAUGAAGUCGGAGUUGCUAGUAAUCCCGAAUCAGCAUGUCGGGGUGAAUGCGUUCCCGGGUCUUGUACACACCGCCCGU